rnacentral:rRNA from 1 species
CCUACGGGGUGCAGCAGUGAGGAAUAUUGGUCAAUGGCCGCAGGGCUGAACCAGCCAAGUCGCGUGAGGGAUGACGGUCCUAUGGAUUGUAAACCUCUUUUGUCAGGGAGCAAAGGGCGCCACGUGUGGCGCUUUGCGAGUACCUGAAGAAAAAGCAUCGGCUAACUCCGUGCCAGCAGCCGCGGUAAUACGGAGGAUGCGAGCGUUAUCCGGAUUUAUUGGGUUUAAAGGGUGCGCAGGCGGAAUGUCAAGUCAGCGGUAAAAUUUCGGGGCUCAACCCCGUCGUGCCGUUGAAACUGGGGUUCUUGAGUGAGCGAGAAGUAUGCGGAAUGCGUGGUGUAGCGGUGAAAUGCAUAGAUAUCACGCAGAACUCCGAUUGCGAAGGCAGCAUACCGGCGCUCAACUGACGCUCAUGCACGAAAGCGUGGGUAUCGAACAGGAUUAGAUACCCGGGUAGUC